UCAUUUGUGUGCUUCGAUUGUUUGCUUUUAGUCUUUCUUAACGUUUUAUUUUAGACUAUAAAGAGUGUUUUUUAUUUAAAUUAAAUUCCUUUCGGUUGGAACCCCUUCAGUUACUUGUCGUCUCACAGUGCUUCCGCAUUUAUUAGCAACUUCUCGCUGUUCAACAAUUAUAGUUUCUUUCAAAUAAAAUCAAUUCACGUGAAUAUGCACCUUCAUGUUUUUGAAUAAUAGAUGCAGAGUAGUAGUGAUCUAAAAGAGCUUUACAACAACACGCAAAUGCCCAUAGCCGUUAAAAUUUCGAUGACAAAUCUCGGGUCGCGUUUUGGUGUGCGGCGGGACUAUGUUGUUUCUUGGUGCCUUAGCCAUCGGUAUGAUAACUGGUCUGCAGAAUAUGACUACAGACUUGUCAACCACGGCCAAUGACGUGACAGAAGCGGCUUCGACUACCGAGAUGGGUCUUCAGGAGACGACGAAGCUUACGAGCUCACAAGCUUCGGAUUUCGUCAAUAUGACAGUGCAGGAGCGGCCGACGAUGUGGGAUUUGUACCUGAACCAUUGUCCAAAGUGGCGGCCGAUCAACCACGUAUUUUUCCAAGUGGCGAAUAUUUUUUUUCUUCUAUCGUUCCUGGCGCCCCACACGUCUAGUGGCUUGAUAUGGCUGCGUGUGGCUCUGGUCCUUGGGUGCGCGUUUCUGGGACUCUGGGCAUGGAGUAUAGAAUGCUAUUUGGAUGCUGUGUUGUGGAACAGUGUGUUUGUUGUGAUAAAUUUUGUGUACUUUGCUGUGCAGUUUUAUUUGAUGAGACCUAUCAAGUUCCAUAAGGAUAUUGAAGAGGUGUACGUGGCGUUAUUCAAACCCCUUCGGGUGUCCAGACGGCAGUUCCGAAGAGUGCUCAUGUGUAUGAGGAACAUUCGCCACCUCAAGUGCCACGAGUUAUACGCGCACGAGAAAGUCACCAAAGUGGAUAGUUUGUCUCUGGUGCUGUCGGGCAAAUUGGUGGUGUCACAGAACCAGCGGGCGCUGCACAUAGUAUUCCCGCACCAUUUUCUGGACUCCCCCGAGUGGUUCGGCGUGUCAACGGAUGAAUUCUUCCAGGUGUCAAUAAUGGCGAUGGAAGAGUCCCGAGUGCUGGUAUGGCAUCGGGACAAGCUGAAGUUGUCCAUAAUGUCGGAUGCGUUCCUUCAGGCUGUGUUCGAUCACAUAUUGGGCAGAGAUGUUGUCCAUAAACUCAUGCAGGUUAGCGAAACCAUGGGUGUGAGUAACGGCCACCUGCCUAAUAGUUAUGAGGAGGGCGAGGACAAGCCCAUGCUCGUGGUGAAGAAGGCUGGAGACGGGCCCGGCAUCACAGCGCUGCUCAACAGGCAGUUGCAGGGAGAGCAAGCGCCGCUGCUGCGAGGCGCCCGCCCCGCGCUACUGCUCGGCGACGACUGACAUCCCCACCACUCCCGCUCCCAAAACUACCUGCAUUCCUAAUUUAAACAUAGACCUUCUCCGUUCUCAUGUUGUCCUGGUACUUUCAUUUGGAGUAUAGCCAUCUUAUAGUAUUGUUUGUUUGUUUAGUUUUGUUUUAAUAAAACCGUUUUUAACUUCAAAGGCGAAUUGAAUGUGAGUUUAUAUCGAGCCGCUUUUCAAAUUGAAAUACCAAGUUGAACUUAUAUUGGUUUACACCUGGUGUUUUAUAAAACGUGAGAUUAAAUUAAAAAAAAAAUCAUUAACCAAAUAUAAGAUUGCAAUUACUCCAAUGAAAGUGUAGUACCCACAAAAAUUAACACCCGAAUUGCAAAUCUAUUUUAUAAUAAACAUAAAAUGUUGAUAUCCAUUUAUGUACAUGGGAUGUAAGGUAAUCUUUUUGUAUUGCUUGUGAUGUAUAUCUGUAGUGAGUUUUAACAUUCUGUAUAGCUAACAGUAACGUUUAUGUAAUAAUUAUUAUGACAGUAAAUCUAAAACAUAGUUGCUGAUAGUACAUACAUAUAUUGUAAAGCUUUAGAUCAUUACAUAGCAUAUAAUAUUUGUGCUUUAAAUAUUAACAUCAUUCUCUCCUGUCAACCAUGACAUAUUUUUAUAAAUAUAAUGUGAUAUUAUAUGUUUUAUAAGUAUUAUUUUACCUAUUUAUUCAUCGCAUGUAUCAUAAAUCUGGGGUUACUAGGUAUGGAUAGUGUCAAAUACAUAAUUUCUCAAGAAUAUCCCUCAUAAUAUUAUAACUAGUGACCCUUCUAACUUGCUAGUCUAUAUGUGCUAUUUUGCAUGUUUGGUAUACCUCUAACAAUUUAUUAUAACGUGAAUAUAUGCUAUCACUUUCUUGAAUUGUAAAUAAAAACAACCAAUAUAAAGAGUCGCUAGUGACUAUAGCAAGCGUAGUGACUAUAACUUUUUAAACGCCACCUGAAUUAUAAAACUAACUAAAAUUUAAAUUUGGAUGGAGUUUGGAUUGUAAUUGAGUUAGUUAUUCUUUUGUUGGGUGUACUGUACAUUUUUUAUCACUGCCAUUAUAGUUGAUACGUUAAUUUGGAAGUAAAAUUUUAGAACACGUAGUUUAUAUAGCAUAUAUUCAUUAUUCCUGUAAAAGUGUGCUUUAAUUGAUAUUCUAGUUACCUUUUAUAUAAUCGUAGUUCAUAUAAAAUUAUAAGAAUUAUACAACUAACAUCCUUAUCGUCCUGUCCUUAAAUUCCAAAUUCCCAUAGCAUGUUUGGAAGAGCAACGUACAAAGCGACAGACCCAAACGCAUGGAGGUUAGGGAGAAUCGAGGAAACAGACCACGAGACGCCGGUGUGAGGACGCGCCCUGCACC
rnacentral:misc_RNA from 1 species